rnacentral:rRNA from 1 species
AUUGAACGCUGGCGGCAGGCCUAACACAUGCAAGUCGAACGGUAACAGGAAGCAGCUUGCUGCUUUGCUGACGAGUGGCGGACGGGUGAGUAAUGUCUGGGAAACUGCCUGAUGGAGGGGGAUAACUACUGGAAACGGUAGCUAAUACCGCAUAACGUCGCAAGACCAAAGAGGGGGACCUUCGGGCCUCUUGCCAUCGGAUGUGCCCAGAUGGGAUUAGCUAGUAGGUGGGGUAACGGCUCACCUAGGCGACGAUCCCUAGCUGGUCUGAGAGGAUGACCAGCCACACUGGAACUGAGACACGGUCCAGACUCCUACGGGAGGCAGCAGUGGGGAAUAUUGCACAAUGGGCGCAAGCCUGAUGCAGCCAUGCCGCGUGUAUGAAGAGGGCCUUCGGGUUGUAAAGUACUUUUCAGCGGGGAGGAAGGCGAUAGGUUAAUAACCCUGUCGAUUGACGUUACCCCAGAAGAGCACCGCUAACUC